GAUGAACGCUGGCGGCGUGCCUAAUACAUGCAAGUCGAGCGAACAGACGAGGAGCUUGCUCCUCUGACGUUAGCGGCGGACGGGUGAGUAACACGUGGAUAACCUACCUAUAAGACUGGGAUAACUUCGGGAAACCGGAACUAAUACCGGAUAAUAUAUUGAACCGCAUGGUUCAAUAGUGAAAGACGGUUUUGCUGUCACUUAUAGAUGGAUCCGCGCCGCAUUAGCUAGUUGGUAAGGUAACGGCUUACCAAGGCAACGAUGCGUAGCCGACCUGAGAGGGUGAACGGCCACACUGGAACUGAGACACGGUCCAGACUCCUACGGGAGGCAGCAGUAGGGAAUCUUCCGCAAUGGGCGAAAGCCUGACGGAGCAACGCCGCGUGAGUGAUGAAGGUCUUCGGAUCGUAAAACUCUGUUAUUAGGGAAGAACAAAUGUGUAAGUAACUAUGCACGUCUUGACGGUACCUAAUCAGAAAGCCACGGCUAACUACGUG
rnacentral:rRNA from 1 species